rnacentral:rRNA from 1 species
CAGCCGCCGCGGUAAUACCGGCGGCCCGAGUGGCGGCCACUAUUAUUGGGCCUAAAGCGUCCGUAGCCGGGCUGGUAAGUCCCCCGGGAAAUCUGGCGGCUUAACCGUCAGAAUUCCGGGGGAUACUGCCAGCCUAGGGACCGGGAGAGGCCGGGGGUAUUCCCGGGGUAGGGGUGAAAUCCUGUAAUCCCGGGAGGAACACCAGUGGCGAAGGCGGCCUCCUGGCCCGUUCCUGACGCUGAGACCCGAAAGCGUGGGGAGAAAACCGGAUUAGAUACCCGGGUAGUCCACGCCGUAAACGGUGGGCACUAGGUGUGGGGGGUUAAUCCCUCCGUGCCGAAGCUAACGCAUUAAGUGCCCCGCCUGGGGAGUACGGCCGCAAGGUUGAAACUUAAAGGAAUUGGCGGG